rnacentral:tRNA from 3 species
GCCGCCGUAGCUCAGCCUGGUUAGAGCGCCGGACUCAUACGCGUAAUAUCUGGGAAAUCCGGUUGUCCGGGGUUCAAAUCCCCGCGGCGGCACCU